CUCUCACUCUCGAUCUGAAUCUCUCUCUCCAAUUUUCCGGCGACACCGGCAAAUCGCCACUGACCGACCGAACAGCAGCUACAACGAGACGCCGGAGUCCGUAUUGCUUCCAUCUCUAAGUCGAAUCAGCAACGCUCGACAAGCCACCGCAUCGCCCCUUCCUUCAGACGCCACUCUCCGUCCAAUUUGGCUAACUGGCCAGUGCUGACUAAGGACGCCUCCUUCAGACCUCUCUCCAAGCUAGAGAGAGAGAUAGUGAGAGAAUGGAGUACAGAAGAAUUAAGGAUCAGGAUAAAAACGAGGAUUCAGCUCAUGUUGAUGUUGAGAGCUUGAGAGGGAAACCCCAUUCAGGGUCUCCUAGAGCUUUAGUAGGUGGCUCUGCAGACCGUACUAAGUGGAAGCGCAAGUCUAUUGUGACACUAGCAUUGACAGUUCUUACAAGUUCACAAGCAAUUCUUAUUGUUUGGUCAAAGAGGGCUGGCAAGUAUGAGUACAGCGUUACAACUGCAAAUUUUUUGGUAGAGAGUUUGAAAUGUGCACUAUCACUAGCUGCAUUAGCGAGAAUCUGGAGGAAUGAAGGUGUUACUGAUGAUAACAGGUUAAGUACAACAUGGGAUGAAGUUAGUGUAUACCCCAUCCCUGCAGCUCUGUACCUCAUCAAGAAUCUACUUCAGUAUUACAUCUUUGCAUACGUAGAUGCUCCAGGUUACCAAAUAUUAAAGAACUUUAAUAUCAUCAGCACCGGUGUGCUAUACCGCAUCAUUCUCAAGAGAAAGUUAAGCGAGAUUCAGUGGGCAGCUUUUGCUCUACUUUGUGCAGGGUGCACAACAGCACAACUCAAUUCCAAUUCAGAUAAUGUUUUGCAGACACCUUUGCAAGGUUGGAUGAUGGCAAUUGUGAUGGCUCUUCUUAGUGGUUUUGCUGGAGUUUACACUGAGGCUAUAAUUAAAAAACGGCCUUCAAGGAACAUUAAUGUUCAGAACUUCUGGUUGUAUGUAUUUGGGAUGAUUUUCAAUGCCAUCACCAUAGUCUUCCAAGAUUUUGAUGCUGUUGUGAACAAGGGCUUCUUUCAUGGAUAUUCUUUCAUUACUGUUCUCAUGAUUCUAAACCAUGCUCUAAGUGGCAUUGCUGUAUCAAUGGUCAUGAAGUAUGCUGACAACAUCGUGAAGGUGUACGCUACAUCAGUUGCAAUGUUAUUGACGGCAGUCGUGUCUAUCUUCCUGUUUGGAUUUCAUCCAUCCCUUGCCUUCUUUCUUGGUUCCAUUAUUGUUUCGAUCUCGGUGUAUUUACACUCCAUCGGGAAGGUCCAGAGAUAGUAGUAGUUGCAGCCUUUGGCCAUAUAGAUGUGGUCAGUGGAAAGGCCCUUAUAAUGUCAACUGAUUUUGGUCAUCAAUGGCACAGACAGCAAUGGGUGUUAGUGAUGCAACAACCAAAUCCGAAAAUCGCCACUUGUAAAAUGUCGUGGAAACAAGUGAAUUUACUAUAACUCGUCAGGAGGGUGGACGAGAAACCAUUUGCCUUAGUAAAAUAAUAGUACUAUUAUUAUAGAUCAAUGCAGUGAUACAAUUGUUUUUGGAUCAGUUUGGCUCUG